ensembl:lncRNA
CGGAAUGCCAUUUUAUUUUCCCUAAAUGAAUGAAUAAAAUCAGUCAGCCAGGAAAAAGAAACAGUACAGCACUUGCACGCUGUCCUUCCUCUCCUGCACUUCUUUGCUUCAAGCACAAACUGCAUGCUGGUGCCCAAACGCACCUAAAGGAGGUGGAUGCAGAAGUACUGCUGCAAAUGCACCAAGAGCCAUGUCCCUCUGCCAGCUGGCCUGCACCAGGCAGGUGCAAGGAGCCGGCGAAGCAUCGAGGUCUUUGCUGCUCUCUCCCCUCCUUUGCCAGCUGGGAAGAGGGAGCAUGGCGUGGAGGGGAGGGAAGGCAGCAGGCCUGGCACUUGGCUGUGUUCCAGCUGAGCAGCCUGCCAGCAACAAGCAACCAGCUCACACCCUGUGGAGGCCCGCUGGCCAUCGCUGCUCCACUGAGCUGCCCACCUGCCCCAGCGGUGCAGGACCAAGAAUGAGAACUGCAUCAAACUCACUUCUAAGUAAACUGAAUUAAAUAGCAGGAGUGGGAGCCUGGAACAGCUUCCUGUGAUCAGAGCACUUAGCCAGCAUCACUGCCGAUAAGGAAGCACGAGCAGCGCUGCUUUUUAUUCUCUCUUUGUGGGUUUGAUCUUAUUAUAGAAAACAAAUUUACCAAGCAUGAAUUACCACUGAAAUUCUUAAUGCUUUGGCAAAGAAGAAAAGUCAGAUAUGGAUGCUGGCAAACGCGCAUGGCUGCUAGCGAGAAUGCCUCUCCUCUGCACACUUUUGUCUCCCAACUUUCAGCUAGGAGCUGCUGUGCGAAUUAUUUCAAAAGAUGGGCUGCAGAAAAAGGAUCAAUUAAUCUGCCGAGAGAAUUUCAGAAUCCAUUCUCAAUGCCGCUGAUAGCCGGAGACCCCCUCCCUGCGCUUGGUAAUUACCCCAAUAUUUCCUGCACGCUUGUUUAAACGGCUUACACUCGGGCUGCCUGUGAAGAAGAGCUCUCCGUCCGCUGAUCUGAGGCAGGGGAGAAAGGCAGCUCUCCUUAUCGCUCUGCUUCACUCCAUCUGCAGCCAGCGGGGGGGCCGCCUCCUCAUUGUCCCUGGGACAGGGGACGAGCAGGCUGGGGGACGCAGAUAGAUGUGACACCGAAGGAGAGCAGGACUUUCCUACCGUGCCGGUGCCGAAGAAAACUCAUCACGCUCUUGCGGUUUCAAAGGCAAAUAAGGAGCCCCUUUAAACCACAGGCCUGUCCCUUAAUUAUACAAAUGCAGCGAUCAAAGUUAUUAUCUGUCCUUACAAAGGCUGCAGCUUUAAUUGAAUGGUGUGUUGCUACCUUUGAGAGAAAGCGUUCAAUCUUCGUGGAGAGCAAAGGGACAGGAGGGAGAAAAUGGAAAAAAGCGAGGGAGCAAGAGGAAAGGAACAAGAGAAAGGGAUAUGGCAUUUAACAAAUUUGUGACGUCUUCGCCAUAUUUGCAUAUUGUAAGUUAAAAAGUCUGAAGAAUUUCAGGUCUGAGACCCUGCUCUACAUUGAGCUAAGUGGGGGCAAGCCACACCACAGUGGGACCUCAUUACCACGGUUCUCCAAGCUAAUGAUGGGGCUGCAACCAUACUACUGUAGUCUGAAGAGAAACCAGAGGGUGACAGGCAUUAGGAGCACUGCUGUGUGUAUCUCACAUAGGGCAACCAAGACAUUACGACUUCAUGAAGACCCUGCAGAGCACACCUGCUUCAGAACCCCCUGAUGAAUACCAUCUGGUUCAAGUGAUUUACUACACUUGCAUUUCAUGAGCUGCGCCGCGACAUCCCAAAUUAAGACAAGGAAAAUAUAGUCUGUGUUUCAGGAAAAUCUUUCUGACAGAUCUAUUAGGCUAUGGAGUAAUCUUUCAGUGGGAGUCUCAUUGUCUGAGACAUUUAUAGCAAGACUGGACAAAGCACUGCUAAAAUAUACUGCAGGGGACAAUUCUGCAUUAACAGAAGGGGAGUCUAGAUAUAUGGCUUUGAAAUUGAGCUGGUCAGAAAAAAAUUUAAGUGAACCAUUUUCUGUCAGAAAAUAUGGUUCUGACAAAACUAAAUAUACUUUGUUGAACCAAUGAUUUUGCUGACCAUUAUUUCAGAGAGAGAAAAAAAAGGGGAAUUUUAAUGUCAAAGUGUCAUACAGAAGUUUUUUUUCUGAAUAAAGAAUUUCAUUACUUUCCCAUCAAACAUUUUUGAAAUUCCAUUCCUGUACUACAGAAGUCAAAUUGAAAACAAAAUAUUCUGAAUAACCCCAAAUUUCUAUUCUUCCCUCCAGAACUGUACUUCCUAGAGUAGUACUGAAAUGAUCAAUUUUGUUGCAGUCAAAAAUUAAAGCAAAUUAGAAAUAUCCUCUGUCUUCACCACUGAGUAUUGCCUUCCAACAUGUUUCUGAAAGUUCUCCAUGGCAAAUAUUGCCUCUUUAUGCUCCAAGUCUUUGAUUCAUUUCACUACAUUUGUCCUCUCCCUAUGUCAUUUCAGUGCUUAGUGUCUCAGCUCUUUCUAGAUUAAAAGGAGGAGAGGAAUAUGCAUUUUUCUCUGAGAAGCAGAACUGAAAGUCAGUUCAUGACAGCUUAUAUUUUAAUAGCAAAUAUCUUCCUCAUUCCCUGUGGAGUGGUUUCUUUAUUGCCCUCAGGUUGCUUUGCAGUUUGGUUCUGCUUUCACUGAUGUGCUUUAUCCUUCUUGCUAUAAUAUAAUUGGAAAACUUAAUCAUGGUUGAAAUCACUCUAAAGACAGACGUGGAAAAGCAGUCCAACUCUGAGGGAGACAGGAUUUUUUUUAAAGCUUGGCUGGUGACAAAAUUUCCUGGAAACCCUUCUACCCUCUUCAGGAGUAGGAGACAAGGUUUCUUAUAUUAAAAAAAAUAAUCUUUCAAAAGUUUCAAAGCCUGCUGUUUAUUUUUGAUGUCCUGGGAUAUGGCUGAGUUUAAUAGCUUUGAAAACUACUGUCCUCAGAAGCAGAAAGUGACUAUAUUUGAAGGCUGCUUCAACUUUCUAAAGAAGCCUUCUGAAAGUGUCCUCCUACUUCUGUUGGAACUUGCCUUCUGUUUAGUCACCGUUUGAAGCCUAAUAUCUUCUACAAGCUAGAACAUGAAUUUGCAAAAAGAAAACACUUCUGUACUCCCACUUAGAUGUCUCCCACAGUGUUUUUCUUUUCUCAUGAAAAUUCUCUCUUCUGCUACCAAUGGAAAAUUACCUUCGCUGUCUCAAUUGAGCCCUGGAUGCAUCCCACACACAUCUUGCCUCUUUGAAGAUUAUCAGAAAGACAGGAAGGUUUCCUUCCCACUUUCUGGGAUUCAUCUGUGAUCCCACUGGUGACUGGAAGAGUGAAGUGUUCCCAUCUCCAUCUGCAGAACCGAGACUACAGGCAACUACUACUGCUCAGCAGCACCUUAGCAACUAUGUGAUCAUACCUUGUAAGAGUGAGGUUGUUAAGGUUACCUAGCCACCGCACUUAGUUUUAUGGACUGUUAUGUGCUCUUAAGCUUUUAUAACAAAGAAGGCAUAUGCAAACCAGGUAUUGCCUAUUGCUGCCUUGUGUUUGGACAAUAACCUUCUUACACUCUGUAUCAAGAGGUGUGGGCUUUUAAUAGGGUACAAAGAAAGAAGGUGCUCAGAGGUCUAAUUUGACUGCUUUUUAACAAAAAAGAAACUGAGAAACAGCUACCUUGUAGCUCCCACAGCCUUGAGCAAGAAGCUCUCCGGAGCCUGUGCUGCAGAACAGCAGGGGGAAGGAGAUUUCUGGGUUCUUUCACAGACAGUAACUUUGAGCAAUAAUGUCCCACAUUUUAUCCUGGGGGGAACAAAAGGAAAAGAAAAGUCCCAGGAAAGAGGUGGGAAACAUGGUUGGAAGUUAAUGAAAGUCUUCUAUUCAUAUUACAAAUAGUCAUACCAGUCUGCAAGGAGAGGUUUCUGCCAGCUCCAUCUAUAACACAUAUUGUAGGACUCAUCACAAGGACUUAACGGUACUUAACCCAACAUAAAUGCAUUGCUCUCCCACAUUCACAACGCACACACAGGAUUGGUUUAGUUAGUAUCCAAAUUCACUGCAUAGGUUUUUUUUAUGUGUGUUUUUGUACCCAGGGAAGAAGUGAAAUACAUUGUUGAUAAGUGAAUACAAAUAUAUCGUGCUUGCAUGAAUUCACAGAGGCCUUUUUCAUAAAAACAGCUGUGAUCAUUUUUCAAUGUGGCUGAGAAACCAGAGAUCUUUUCCUAUAGCUCACCGCACUUAGAAGCUAACCUGUGGAUCUCAAGUGACCUGUAAUGUUCAUUUCGGCUUUUGGGCACUUUUCCUGAAGUUUUAAACCUGAUGCUCCAUUUAGGGAAUUUGUCAGUGUACAGGGAGGCCUAAAAUUCACCUGCAGAGGCUGGGGAAAUGAAGCAUGGAGGAAACACUAACAUUUUGAGGGCACAGUGUGCAGAAAAGAUUUAAACUCGUAUUUUCACAGCACACUGUUCUGUGAGAGCGGAGCAGUGAACUUGAUGCAGGGAGGUAUGAUAGAUAUUACACUGUGCUUUCAGGUUUAACAUUGAGAUCAAGCUAAUAGUUACAUUAAAGAAGUCAAGAAUUAAUAUACAAAUAUUUUUAGCACAAACAGUACAGUCUGCCCAUCACAAAAUAUAUGUGCAUAUCUGUGAUAAAAACAACAUUCCAUUAACUUGCUCAUUUCAAAUCCAUCACCCAGAUCUAGUAUUUGAUGAUUAGCUUUAACUAUUCCUAAUAUGUUAGUCUUGCUCACAUCCAUCCAUACAUUGAAAUGAGUAUCCUAGCAUUUAGUAGUAAACACGAGAGAUGGAUCUUCUCCUGAGGUCUGAACUCAUCUUCUUAAACUUUUUCAUUAACAUCUACUCCAGGGCAAAUAUUUCAGAUUUCUGUAGCCUUGCACAGUAUUUCAAUCCUUAAUUAAUAUCAAAUAUUAUUUUUUACUGAACAUUAAACAUACAUAUAUCCACAUAUUCAAUGUUGUUGUCUAGAACAUGCAAGAAAAAGGACUUCAGCACUUCCAAAUGAAAUAUCACAAAAUGCUGAAACAGUAAUGAUUAGAAAAGAAAGCCGACAUGCAAGUGGCACUCAAAUAAGUAAAGAGUGUUAAGAAAAAUGCCCUAGAAGUUUAUUUAGUGGAUCAGGAACCACAUUCUUUUCUCAUCUUUGAUUUAAAAAGUAUAUAUGCAGUCACUUGGCUCACAAAUGCAAAAGUAAACUAAGGUUAACAUUAUCAGCUUCCUUGAAUCUGUAUUAGGAGGCCAAGACUACCGUGAAAACAGUGCAGAGGUAUAAUUGACCAUGUUACCUUCUAACUUAAGGGGCUAAGUUAUUGCCAGAUGAAAGAGCUCAGGCUUUAAAUAACAGCAGUGGUUUCAGAUCUAGGGAAUGCUAUUAAUGUUAAAAGCAAUUAUAAUGCAACUUAAUGACUUUUCCUGUUUUAUUUACUUUUUUAUUUCUAGUAUGUAACAACUUUCAAGAAGGUUACAGAAAAAUAGUCACCUGAAGGCAAAAAAGAAUUUCACGUUGAUCUCACUUUUAAGUAUUUAGUGCUAAAUGGUUAGAAUCUGAUAGCCUUAUACAUGUUAUUCUUUUACUCUGUAAGUACUUCUAAUAAUUCCUACUGUGGAAUAUGUUUGCCUCCGUAAAAAUCAAGAGGAUGGGGAUCUGACAUUUAAAUUCUGCAGGAAAAAAAAAAAAAAACACUGCAGUUUAUUCUGGGAUAGAUCUACUAACUGGUAUUAGUGCUCCCACAGGGAACAAGGGAAAAUAUUUCUAGCUCUUCUUUCAUGGGCAGAUGGGGCUUCAGAUACAUAGCUGACUUGAUGACUGGACACACUGCCAGUAUGGCAGUAUCUUUCAAUAUACCUUAAUUACCAUAAAAGGAAUAUUUUAUUAACAAGCUAAAAAAUUCAUACUUUAUUCUCAUUACAUAGAAGAGGUGAAAACCAAAUGAGAACAUUGCAAGCAACUUGACAAUAGUCACUGUAUUCACUGUUUGUCUACAAUGCAAAUAGAAAACGCAGUACUCAGCAAGCACAUUGUAUAAUUCUCUUCCUAUGUGUGCCUAUUUUCUUCUCCUGUAAUUCCAAUCACUUCUGCAAUGUUACUACCUGAUCACAUAAGGGAAAACUAAAGCUGAAACAAGACCAUUAGGCAUCUUCAUUAAUUUGGAGUGGCAGCAUACAAGUAACCUUAUUUGUUUUAUUUAUGACUUACUAGCCUCUGGUCUCACCUUCUAAGAGAGACUUAGGACAGCCUCUAAAAUACAAGGCUUCUUGAAAGUGAACGUUAGCACUCCUGAGUGAUGCUGCAAUUUGAUUUCUGACUCUGGGUCACAAGACGAUCAAGUGAGUUUCUAUUUUCUCAGUUUCCCAGGCAAGCAGGUCAGGGGGGUCUCCUGUGAGACAGAUUAAACUAGACAAAACUGGAUUGUGCCCUGGUCUGUAUAAAAAUCUGUGCUUGAGAAUCAUAUUGCUAAAAACUAAUGCUAGCCCAAAUAAUUGUAAGGGGUUGGAGAGAUACAGUGUUACCUGUUGAACAUUUUCAUUACUAUAAAUAUGUAGCUUUAUCAAUACAGAAACAUCAUAAAAAUUCUUAUUGGAAUAUUGUCAUGCCACAUUCAAAUUCAUUAUUUCUUUUUAAAUUGCAGUGUUAAAAAUGCUUAAGGUCAUUAUGGUACUGCUUCCUGAUAAUUUUGGUGCUUACAAUAAUUAAAGAGAAGGCAUUAUAAAAGAACAAAACCUAUCCAACCUAUCCCAUGAGGGUCAAAUAUUCAGAAGUAAAACGGGUAUUCAGGUUGCUCAUGGAGCAAUUUAUUGAAGUAGGAAUUACACAUCUACGGAUGUAUCUUCUUCUCAUCUCCCCUGAGCUGGGAUACCCUUGCUGGUAUGCGCACAGCAUAAACCUAGGGCUAUAGUCCUCACUUAGAAAACAAAAAAUAAUAAAUCAUAGCUUUUUUUUUUUUUACUAGCCUAAGGGAAAAAAUGUUAAUAAAUGUUAAAAGCCCAUCAGAAGAUUCUCCCUGGUGCCACUGUCACCUAUUGCUACCAGCAGGCAAGGAAACACUUCAUGCUAAAUCCCAUGCUAAACUCAAUUUCUUGAAUUCUGAACUGCAUUCUCUUAAAUACUAAACUACUUUUGAUCCCAGAAGCAUGUUGACAACAGAAAAAGAAGUCUGAUACAGCUAUAACAUUUUAAAAAAUAGAUUAUUAUCCAAAUACUUUUGAUAUACUGCUAUUUCAAAAUCCACUGAAGGUCAUUAUUAAACAAGAUUUAUAUAUUAAAUAUAUUUAUGGUAAGAUCAUCAUGUAGGUAAGAUAUAAUUAGCUUCAACUUCUUUGCUUUAUGGAGAAAAUUUCAUUAUGGUAUUAGUUGGGUUUUUUUUUAAGCUUCAAAGAUAGAAAAAAAAACCCAACAAGAAUGAAGAGGAAAAAGACUCAUCAGUUUUUUCUUCAUGAGAAAUUACUGAAGCAGAACAUGAACAAGCCUGCUGUUACUUUCAUGAAACAUAUAACGAAUGUGUAGUUCAGACCUAAUUUUUUAAAGAGUUCAAGUUUCAUCUGAUAUUCUUUCUUUGAUAAAUUAUACCGAGAACAUAAAAACUCCUAUACUGGUCAGGAUUAUAACAGGUGGUAUUAUUUUAAAGCUUCAUAGACAUAAAAGUGCUUCAGAGCAGAUUAGAAGGUAUGCACAGAAAUAAUGCAAUUUCAGAACACGAACAAUAGAAUUGAUUUUCAUCAAACUGAGCAAAAUUUUAAUGGCUGAGAUUGGAAAUAUAAUUUAAUAAGACUCAGAACUUCAUCAUUUGGGUUAUAAGUAAAGCCACAAAUUCCUUUGGUGAUACAUCUAGGUAGGUUUCAGAAAAGUGCUCAAGACUGAAUUAGGCAGAUGUGUUUACUUGAAUUAAGAGAACCACAUACUUGAACACGGUGUCUAACACUGAUGAAACUGUACAUCACCCUGGUGCGGAGUGUGGGAUGGGGUGUUUCCUAUAGGCACUGUGGUGUGUUUUUCAGCAACAAAUCUGAACUCAUACAAAUAUUCCUGUGGAUGUCUUACAGCAUGGAAACGUUUUCCCACUAUCUACAGAGCAAAUAAAGUUUAUUCCCUUAAACCUACGUCUGUGUGAUUUCUCCAGAUGGAUUCCAGCCCUGCAUUACACUGAAUGGGACCAAAAUACUGACUUCAAUUAAAAAGCUCCUUUUCAUAACCAACUCUAAAAUCACCCACGCUCCAGAAUUAGAUACCAUUAUUACAGAAAGUGUUAGCAUCAUGGGUCAGAGAAAUGGAUGGGAUUCAAUAAGAGUCAGGAGUCAAUUAGAACUAAAGGUGCUAUUGCAGAUGGUGGACUCACAAAAUUCUCCUUCACACAUACAGACAUCAAGGAGAUGCAUGGAAAAAUGC